AGAUGACACGAAGAUAGCACUGCAUCUCAAAGACAGCGGAGCCUCUACAGAUGACAGUGCCGCCGAGAAGAAAGGAGGAACCCUCCAUGCAGGCCUCAUCGUUGGAAUCCUCAUCUUGGUCCUCAUUAUCGCAGCAGCCAUUCUGGUGACAGUUUACAUGUAUCACCAUCCAACAUCAGCAGCCAGCAUCUUCUUCAUUGAGAGACGCCCAAGCAGAUGGCCAGCAAUGAAGUUUCGAAGAGGAUCGGGACAUCCUGCCUAUGCGGAAGUUGAACCGGUUGGAGAGAAAGAAGGUUUUAUUGUAUCAGAGCAGUGCUAAGAUUUUAGGACAGAGCAGCACCAGUACUGGCUUACAGGUGUUAAGACUAAAAUUUUGCUUAUGCGUUUAAGAAAACAGACACACACCCACCACCACACAUACAGGAGCCCUAAACUGCUGUAAACAGAAGGGCGACGAGAUUUCUGGACAAGCCCAGCCCAGGAACGUUGAAAGGAAAACUCAGACUUGUACAAGACACCAUGUACACUGAAUAAAGAAUUCCCUAGCAGAAUGACAUUCAUGGUUCACAAGGAACAUCUCCUGUGGACUUGCCAGGAGUGUGACGAGAUGACGAUGCUUUUGGUUUAGGUGCAGGGUUGCAAAGGGAUCAAGGAAAAAAAAUAUGAUAAUAAAUAAAGCUUUAGUUCACAAGGGAUCUACACCUUUGGUUCAAAUGUUCUUCUCUGACGUCUCAAAGAUAAUCACGUUCCAAAGCCUGAACGCUUACGCUGGAAAGAGCAAUGGUGAAUUUUCAAGAUCACAGGGAACAAUAGCUCGCACAAGAGCAAAACCAAACAUGAAAGGAGGUUUUUCUAUCUUUUCCAAACAGACUAUCGGCAAAAGGAUUUUAUGUUGUGCUUUAGAUGCCAUUGUCCAGACAAGUUCAUUACUUUGCAGGACGAAUCGCUCAUCUGUUCAGAAGUUCAAACUAUGCCUGCCUCUUCCUUGGUAAUGAAUAACCUUCCUGUGAGCUGUGACACAAUUUCCAAAUGUUAAGCUAAGGACUAGAGAGGAGGGAGUAGCCAGUGAGGUUUUCCAUUCUCUCACUGCAGAGUAAAAUGAAAUUUGCUUCCUAAGGUGCUGCUUCUCUCCCACCUGGAGUCCCAUGGAGGCUCAUUUGCUCCUGGCUAAUGAAAACAGACAGAAAUCAGAGGAAGAUUUGUGAGAGCAUUUUUUGAGACAAAUAUCUUAAGAAAUGUUUUUUUUUAAUCACUAUGUCUGUAUGAAAAACCCAUUUCAUUGUCAAUCCCUGUACAAGAAGCCAUUCAAGUCAUCAUAUCCCUGGUGAUAGAAA